UCCCUGAUGGUCCAGUGGCUAAGACUCCGAGCUCCCAAUGCAGGGGGCCUGGGUUUGAUCCCUGGUCAGGGAA
rnacentral:tRNA from 1 species